CAUCUCCUAGAGCCAGUAUAACUUGCGGAGGAGAACAGAUUCUCCUCGACUACAGUAAGGCACGCUGGACGGAGAAACUUCAGAAUGCGAGGCCCAGUGCUGUUUUCGCUCAUAUUGUCUAUGCUCGAUGUGAUGAAAAAUUGUGAUGCCCAAAGAAAAAGCGCGCCUCUACCAUUUUGGGUAAAUGAAGCAGUUUUCGGUCCAUUGCAAAACGCCUACGAGAAUGUUAACAGAGGAGGCAAUGGCGUAUAUGUACUCCUGUGGGCCACAUACAACAAUGACCCAGCUGCACUGGGCAAUCAGUUUAAGUGUGUCAUCACAUAUAACACGAAGCGGAAUGCUCUAGAUCAUACUUUGAGAUCUCAUUUCAAAUUUAGGAACAGCCAAAGUGGAACUACUUUUAGGAAAACCAGAAUAUUGGUUAAGGCCGUUAAAUAUCUAGGUUAUCGCAAUAUCAGGAAUGCCUUACAGUUGGAGCGAGAUGGAAAGAAAUUUACAAAUGUCUUGAUUUUUUCAAACGGACGGAACUGCGACGUAUUUUUUGUACCGAAACACGGAAAUGGAUGCGAACUAUGGGUCCGAGAAGAUUGGUUGAAAAAGUUACCAUUGUGCUGUGUAUUCAUUUACAGAAUGUGUGCCCUAGGAAAACCUACAUAUACAAUUUACACUGCGGAAGAAUGCGGCAAAAAGCAAGGUGUUGCUACCGGUUUGCCGCGGGAGUAGUGUUAUGUACGUCUAGUCGCUCCAGCAAGACCACCAAUAUUAAUGUGUAAAUGAUCACUUCAUCUCUAUCGUGGACCUCACACUUGUGAACUUGAAUAAUAAAUUUUUAAUAAUUAUAAUAGCCAGUUAAGAAAAUGUACACGUUAUCGUGUGCAUUAGCAAUUUUUGCAAUUCAUUAGGCGUCGUUCUAAUAACAACAGCUGCAGACAGCUGUAUUUACUGUUAAGCACAGCCUUCGGUCUAAAUCACUCAGUCUGCACCUAUCAGGAGUCCAAACAUAACUUUUUAGAGGAUUGCUCCUCUAACUUUUAAUAGCAAACUAAAAAUAUAUCUGUUUCUUAUACACGCCUCUGGGCAAGAUUGCUGAAAACGCAUAGGAGAGGCAGCUGUAAUAACCACACUCACUUACCAUACAGACGCAUAUGAGUAUCAGGGACUACAUGACAACAAGUACAAGGAC